rnacentral:rRNA from 1 species
UACGUAGGGUGCAAGCGUUGUCCGGAAUUAUUGGGCGUAAAGAGCUCGUAGGCGGUUUGUCGCGUCGGCUGUGAAAACCUGGGGCUCAACCCCGGGCCUGCAGCCGAUACGGGCAAACUAGAAUUCGGUAGGGGAGACUGGAAUUCCUGGUGUAGCGGUGAAAUGCGCAGAUAUCAGGAAGAACACCCGUGGCUAAGGCGGCUCUCUAGUACGUGACUGACGCUGAGACGCGAAAGCGUGGGGAGCGAACAGG